AGGAUCUACCUAGUAGUACGGAAUAAUUGUUGGAAACGACAACUAAUACCGUAUACGCCCUACGGGGGAAAAAUUUAUUGCUAUUAGAUGAGCCUAUAUUAGAUUAGCUAGUUGGUGGGGUAAUAGCCUACCAAGGUAAUGAUCUAUAGCUGAUCUGAGAGGAUGAUCAGCCACACUGGAACUGAGAUACGGUCCAGACUCCUACGGGAGGCAGCAGUGGGGAAUAUUGGACAAUGGGCGAAAGCCUGAUCCAGCCAUGCCGCAUGAGUGAAGAAGGCCUUUGGGUUGUAAAGCUCUUUUAGUGAGGAAGAUAAUGACGGUACUCACAGAAGAAGUCCUGGCUAACUCCGUGCCAGCAGCCGCGGUAAUACGGAGAGGGCUAGCGUUAUUCGGAAUUAUUGGGCGUAAAGGGCGCGUAGGCUGGUUAAUAAGUUAAAAGUGAAAUCCCGAGGCUUAACCUUGGAAUUGCUUUUAAAACUAUUAAUCUAGAGAUUGAAAGAGGAUAGGGGAAUUCCUGAUGUAGAGGUAAAAUUCGUAAAUAUUAGGAGGAACACCAGUGGCGAAGGCGUCUAUCUGGUUCAAAUCUGACGCUGAAGCGCGAAGGCGUGGGGAGCAAACAGGAUUAGAUACCCUGGUAGUCCACGCUGUAAACGAUGAAUGUUAAAUAUGGGGAGUUUACUUUCUGUAUUACAGCUAACGCGUUAAACAUUCCGCCUGGGGACUACGGUCGCAAGAUUAAAACUCAAAGGAAUUGACGGGGACCCGCACAAGCGGUGGAGCAUGUGGUUUAAUUCGAUGCAACGCGAAAAACCUUACCACUUCUUGAC
rnacentral:rRNA from 1 species